rfam:Eutrema salsugineum unplaced genomic scaffold scaffold_6, whole genome shotgun sequence.
AAGCCGUGGUGUGGGCAUUGGUUAGUGUAGCUUCUAAACCGUUCCCAAGCUUCACUGAAGCUCUCGUUAUUGUGCUGCGUGAAACUUGAGAUCUGAUUCCCGAGCUU